AAGUCGUAACAAGGUUUCCGUAGGUGAACCUGCGGAAGGAUCAUUAUUGAAUAUUCUUGAUGGGUUGUAGCUGGCUCUUUGGAGCAUGUGCACGCCUGUCUUGACUUUAUUCAUCCACCUGUGCACCUUUUGUAGUCUUGGGGGUUGAGAGCAGUCAAUGAUCGAAUGGCUUAUAGCCUUUUCGGAUGUGAGGAAUGCUGAGUGCGAAAGCAUACAGCUCUUCUCAGAAUGACUUGUAAACCUCUCCCUCGAGUACUAUGUAUUCAUAUACCACAUAGUAUGUUGUAGAAUGUGAUCAAUGGGCCUCUGUGCCUAUAAUAAUCAUAUACAACUUUCAGCAACGGAUCUCUUGGCUCUC
rnacentral:misc_RNA from 1 species